rnacentral:lncRNA from 1 species
AAAAAGAAAAAAAAGUGUCUCUGUGACUAAUAGUCCAUGCAAGUCAUUUUUUUGGAGCUUGCAAAGUUUGAGAAGCAAAUUAAUAAAGUUGUUGAAAAUUCCACAUGAGAUAAAAUAAGGAACAGUUAUUGAAACUCAGUGUGUAAGAGGUGAGGUAAUAUAUAUAUAGGAAGGGUAGAGGAAGGAUCAUGUACACCAAACAUUAAUUAGUUAAUUUCAACAAAAAGUACACAUUGACCAAUUAAACUAAUCCACCACUAUCAAUUCACAUAAUAGUACUCUAAUAAAACAAAUCUAUUUAUGUACUUAAUCCCAAUUAGAGCACAAUUAAGCUUAAGAAUAUGUUGUUUAUGAAUUGUUUGUAGACCAGUACCAUGCAAGUUGUUUAUGGUUAAUCGUAGUUUUGAUGUGCCACAAAUAUAUAAUUUGGUUGAGGAAUUAACGACGUGUUCGUAUUAUAAACUUUUUAGUUAUGACAUACAAUGCAUGGUUUGAACGUGAAUCGAUCGUUCUUUCUAUGAGAGACUAGAUUAUGUGAAACAUCUUCUUUUUUUUUUCUUUCUUUCUUUUAUUGUUUUCUUCAAGAGAAUAGUACUAUUAGUACCAGCAAUUCUCGACCAACUAUUGCCUAACAAAGUUUUUUUUUUGCGAGAAUUGGAGUAAAAGAGAUUUGACUCUCGUAUUUUAAUCAAGAGAUUGAUUAUUCUCGUGUCAAACUAGUUAAAUUUAAACAGUAGUCAAAGAAGCUCUACUGUUGAUAAUUAAUUGAUCACUCUAACCACUACCGUGUUUCCAGGAGAAUGAUAUAUAGAUAUAUAUAUAGAGAGAGUUCAGCUACUAUGCUAGCUAUUAAUAGCACGAAGUAUUUGGUGCUAUCAAGUUUUCCGCCGUUAGAUCUACCCUUUUGAUCAUUUUCACCCGUUAGAUCAUACUAUUCAACCAACCACCCACUCAACCUUAGGAGACCCACAUCAUCCUAACCGCACAUCUUUUAAUCCAACGGCCAAAAAUUUGAUAGCACCAAUGACUUGGUGCUAUUAAUAGUAUAUUAGCCUAUAUAGUUCUAUAUAUAUAUAGAGAGAGAGAGAGAGAGAGAGAGAACUAGGCUACUAUGCUAUUAAUAGCACCAAGUCAUUGGUGCUAUCAAGUUUUUGGCCAUUGCAUUAAGAGAUGUGUGGUUAGGAUGAUGUGGGCCCCCCUAGGGUUGAGUGGGUGGGUGGUUGGUUGAAUAGUAUGAUCUAACGGAUGAAAAUGAUCCAAAAGGUAGAUCCAACGGCGGAAAACUUGGUAGCACCAAGUCCUUCGUGCUAUUAAUAGCAUAGUAGCCGGACUCUAUAUAUAUAUAUAUAUAUAUAUAUAGAGCUAGUCUCCUAUACUAUUUACGGUACCGGGGCUUCGAUACUAUAGUAUCGUUUUUUAUUUAGGGUGUUCAAAUCAACGAUCCACGUCGUUAAAACUGAUCUAGAGUAUUUAAAGUUUUUAGAAAUAAAAUUUUAUAUUUUUUCGACAUAGUUUACUUUAUAAUCAAACCAUUUCAAAAUUGUCAAUUUUCAAUGGCUACUAUGGUGAGUUUGGAGUUUAACGGUGUAGAAGAAUUUAAAUUUCUUCAAAUUUUGAUAGAAAAUACUUUAAACUAUCUAGAUUAAGGUUAAGAUUUUUUAUCUUGAAUUUAAAAGUCCUAUACUAAAAUUUUAAAGAUUAUUCAAUUUUCACCGUCCAUUUUGACAUAAUUUAUGUACUAAGUAAAUGAUGUCGAAAAAAACUAAAAUUUUAUUCCUAAGAACUUUAUAUACCCUAAAUCAUAUUUAACGGUGUAGAUCGUUAAUUUGAACACCCUAAGAACGAAAACAAGACUAUAUAUAGUAUCGGAGCUCCGGUACUAUAGAUAGUAUAGUAGCCUAAUUCUAUAUAUAUAUAUAUAUAUAUAUAUAUAUAUAGAACUAGACUACUAUGCUAUUAAUAGCAAAGUCAUUUGCGCUACCAAGUUUUUGGCCAUUGGAUCAAGAGAUGUGCGAUUAGGAUGAUGUGGACCCCCUAGAGUUGAGUGGGUGGUUGGUUGAAUAGUAUGAUCUAAUGGGUAAAAAUGAUCAAAAGUGUAGAUCUAACGGCGGAAAACUAAUUGGUAGCACCAAGUGCUUCGUGCUAUUAAUAGCAUAGUAGCCGGACUCUCUCUCUCUCUCUCUCUCUCUCUCUAGAUCUCUCUCUCUCUCUCUCUCUCUCUCUCUCUCUCUCUAUAUAUAUAUAUAUAUAUAUAUAUAGGAAAAGGCAAAAGAAGAAAGCAAAAGAGACGAGGAAGAAUUCAAAUUAUAAAAAAAUGUAGAGAAGAAAACUGAGUUACUGAUAUGUCUCAAAAUCUAGGUAUGCAUGGGAAUUUACAAAAUGUGAAGGAACAAUCCUCUCUAUUUCAGUGACAGCUUUUUGAGGAACUAAUUAAAUUUGCCUAUUUCUUUCUUGGCAUAUAAAGUUGAAGCUAAAGUUGGUGUGAUCAUUUCUUCUAUUAGACAUUUUCAUUGCACAAAGAUGCAAAAAUAACAUGGAAAAGUCAAUAUAACAAGAAAAGAAGUAAAAGAAGAUCAAGAAAUGCAUCAGUCAUAGAAAUAAGACUAAGUUUGAUCAAGAAUAUGGUAGUUGCAUACUCAUAAGCAACGAGUUUGCACAAAUAAUUCUGAAUAUUAUUUCAACACUUUUUUCAUUAGAUCGUUCGUUUAGAUGAUAUGGUAUUGGUACUAGCCCGAUGCCACUCAGUUUCGUAAUGUCACGGGUCCAAAUCUUAACAUUCACCAUGUGAUAUUUUUCAUUUUUUUAUUUUUAAAAUUUUUAUUUACUCAUAUGAAAUCCUCAGCUAAAAGGUUUAAUGAUAUAUAGAUGCAUUAAGGGAAAUUGUGACAUCUAAUUUAUGUAUUUACAAGGGGAGACAUGAUAAUAACAACUUCGAAGGACAUUAAUUAUGAUAUAUAUUUCACAACUUUUGCAGGGUAAAAAUUAAUUAGCCCUAAUAAUUAACAUUAAUUACUAGCAAUAUAUCUUCAUCCCAUGAGAAGAACAAAGAAAUAAAACCUUAUGUUAGAUAUAUAUGUUUCGAAUUAUUAAGCCAUAAGGCUUUUAACUCUAUUCUAUUUUGGUAAUCCCAUUUAGUAAAGUUGGGAUUAUUAUAAUCUUGUUAGAUUAUGCGUUCUAGAAUAUAUUAUAAAAAGAAUUUUGCAAAUUCUCUCUCUAUUUUACUUUCUACGAUUUUACUUUGUCAAUUUGUAUGAUGAAGGGUGACGAUACAUGCAAAAAGUUAUAAGAAACAUAAGAUCGAAACUUGAUACCACUCUACCACCUUUUCUUUUGCUACUAAAUAAAAGUAACUAUGAAUAAAUAAAUAAAUAAAAGUAACUAUGAAUAAAUUAUAAAUAGCUAAAUAAGUCCAAGCCAUUUAUGUGUAUAAUUUUUCAACAAAAAUGUUCUCAUGCAAUAGCUAGUAUCCUGCAACAAUUUUUUUUUUUUUAAAAUCCCUGAAAUGAUCUAGCAUUUUGCCUCUCUAUCUCUUGUGUAGAUAUUUAGAUGCUUUCAAAAUUAGUUUACUAUAUAUUUAUAUAUUUAUAUUCAAAUAUCUCUUGGUAAAACAAUGAUUUAGAAAUCAUGAUAUCAUCCAAUGAUUCUUACAGAUCUUAUGAAAAUGAAGUUUAUAAUAACAAAUAGGACGACAUUAGCAUUAAGAAGGUGAUUUUGGUGAUUUUCUCCAUUCAAUUGUUUGAUUGUUAACUUAUAUAUAUAAUGAAGUUUAUGAAAGUGUGUUCAUGCAUGAUCUAAGCUCCCCAACAUGAGAAAUUGUAUAUUGUAGUACUUGAUCAAUAAAGAGGCCAUUAAAUAAUUCUAAGAUAAGAUCUUAAGAAAUUAUCGUUCAAAAAUCACUGUGAAUGAAACUGUAAUUAUCAUUCAAUAAUCACUUUGAAUGUAACUAUUUUUUUACUAUUCCAAAUGUGGGUAUGGCCCACUAAGCACAAACACUAGGGAGGUUGUUUGCCUACAACACAUUAUAUACUAUUUGUUAGUUGAGGGGAGCUUAACCAAUCACUAAGAAUAGGGAACAGUACAAGGGCUUCUUCCUUGUUCCCCAGAGAAAAAAAAAAUUUAAAAAAAAAUUCAAAAGGUGUUCGUGAUCUUCGUGAUUGCAAUAAUAAUUAUAAUUAUAAUGACGAAGGUGCAUGAUGAUAAUCAAGCGAGAUAUACUUGAAACUUUCACUAGGUGCAUGGCGCGUGGCGUAACGAAUAUUGGGCUUUUGAAUGAUCUUGCAUAAAAGCAACAUGAAGAAUAUGAGUGAGAAAACAAAUUACUUGGUCAUAGCCAAAUAGGUUGCUUUAUUUUUUGGGUAAACUAAUGUAUUUGGUGGUCACAUAUCUAAAAAUCUUGUUAACUCACCAAACCAUAACAGCAUUAGUUGUAACUGUAUCUACUAUAUAAAGGUGAUAGUGAUGCUGUGAAUGUCACAUAUGAACAUGCAAAACAUAGUUUUGAUUAGUAUAUAUACAUGUAUGUUCUCUGUCAUAUAAAUUAACUUAAAUCACUAGAAGUUAUUUGUUAUUAGAGAUGUAUAUAUAUCAUGGUUUACAUGAAUUGUUAUUUUGGUAAAAAGCCAAAAAUAUGUUGUGAUAAUGAGGAAUUAAUUAAUCCUGAAUUGUUGUUGUGGCACUUUAAGUGAAAAUUUGUAGUGGCUUCUAUUAAUUAGUCCAUGAAAACUGUGAAUCACAUGCAUAAAAUUUAAAUUGGAUAGUAAUUUUGAAAUUCUCUACACUUUGGGCUAUCAUCUAUACCACCCAGUAGUACCCUUAGGGUUAGGAUGAUGUGGGCCCCCUAGGGCUAAGUAGUGGUUGGUUGAAUAGUAUAAUCUAACGGGUAAAAAUAAUUAAAGGGUUAAAUUUAACGAUGGAAAACUCGAUAGCGCAUCAAAUUCUUGGUGCUAUCGAUAGUAUCCCAGCGGGACUCCCCCUACCUGUUCAUUAUUAAUUAGCAGGCCUUUUAUUGUGAACAGAUUCCAACACAGCUACAUAUAUACAUUCCUACAUUAUCUUUUAAGGGAUAGUUGUUUAUGUACGUAUGAAAAUUUCUUGACUUUCUUAUUUAUUCUUUUUAGAAGGUUAAUAUUAAAGAUAUUUUUUUUAAUAUUUUAAAUUAUUGCAAAUAUGCUACUAAAUUUAAAUUUUGUUAGGAAACUGUUAGGGACAGCCGUUAUCUCUGUAAAAUUAUCAUUUUAUUAUUUUAAAUAAAUACUUCUACUGUCAUCAACUUUUCUUAUUUGCUUAAGUUAGGGGCAAAAAAAGUAUUUUGACCAUUUACCUUUUCAAAUUUACCCUUCUACUGUUACCAACUUUUUUUAUUUGUUCUUAAGUUAGGGACAAAAGAGAUAUUUUGAUUUUUUUAACUUUGAUGACUUAACGGAUACUAAUACCGAAAUUAUUUUUGAAUAACGAAAAAAUAUAUGAAAGAUAUAUUUGAAACAAAAAAAAAGUAAAAAUAUAUAAGUAUUUCAAAGGUUUUGAGAGGUAUAUUAGAUAAUAUCCCAUUUAAUUAGACAUUGCUACAAAUAUUAUAAUUUUCCAUAUCUUUAAAAGUAAGAAUAUAUAUAGGUUUAAUAUUGUACAUAAUAUAUAAGAGUUUUUCUACCAACAGUUCUGAGCUUUAGAGAUGGUCCAAGCGUUUUAACGUCAUAUAUAUCAGAGUCAUGUCGAUGAACUAGGUUUGACAAAGACCUACCUGAUCUUUUAUAAGAUUAAAAGCAAAUAUAUAAGAUCAACAAAAUCUGAAAAAAUUACUGCACUAAUUUGACAACAAAGUAUAGAAAAUUAAACAAUUUUAGGUAAAAAUAUCCUGAAUUUAUCUGAUCUACAGACCAUUAAUUUUGGCUAUCCCAUCUUUCAAAAGUUUGAUUUAUUACUCAACCUUUUAAUUUACCUAGUUUAAGUCAGUCAACGAUACUUUGACUUCAAAAUUUAAGCUAAUUACUUAUUUUACUAAAUUUAUAGUUGUGAGAAUUAUAUAAAGUACACUAAUUAAAUAUGUAAAAAUAGAUAAUAUAUUCAAAUUUUAAAAUCAAAGUGCUCUUGACCGUCUUAAAUCAAACAGAUUGAAAGAUUGGACAGCAAAAUCAAAAUUUCAAAAAGAUGGAUAGUUAAGUCAAAAUAGCUAUAUUUCGUUUUUACCAAAACUUUAGUUACUUUUUUUUUGCUAGAUUUCGUUUUCCUCUACGAUCGAAAGUAUGUGUCACUGUACGAUAAAUGCAUUUUUCACUAUAUGUACAAUAAAUAGGACAUUUCCCUUUCUUUUUCGUUGUUCAAAUUUUAUUAGAAAGGUACAAUUAAGUUGCAUAUGUAUUCCUAUGGUUUAGGACCACAUGAUCUAGCCAACAUAAUUAAUACCUCCAUAGAGAAACAUAUGAUUCGGAAAUGGAAAGUACAACAUAAGGUCCACCAAAAUUAUAUAUAUAUAUAUAUAUAUAUAUAGAGAGAGAGAGAGAGAGAGAGAGAGAGAGAGAGAGAGAGAGAGAGAGAAUUUAAUUAGUGUUUCUAAUUAAGAUAUAAUGGCCAUUCUUAUUUGACCUCUUAACAUGUUUUUAUGAGUAUAAUAAGAUACAUAUAUAACACACACAGCCAAGAUCCUGUGGGCACGCAAAACCCAGAAACGUUGCAAUAUUGUCUCGUCUAAAUAUUACUUGGUUAUGAUCAAUAUAAGCACAAGUCAACCCCAUGUGAGUUUAUAUGUUAAUGUAGAAAAAAAAAAAGAAAAAAAAAGAAAAAAAAAAGAGUUCACAUAUAUUGUUUUAGCCACUUGGGCCAAUGGGAGGAGAAAUAGGGUCCACGUGGACACCCACCAUCUGAGAUUUUGCAUGCCCUAACCCUAACCCUAACCCUAACCCUAACCCUAGCCCUAGGCCCUAGAAUGUGCCAUACAAGGAGGGGGCAAGUUGUUCCUUCCUUGCUUCUUGUUGGGGGGGAUAUUAAUCCCCAUGUGCUCAUACCCUAACCCCCUCUUAUUGUUGCGUGGCAAUAGUCCACACCUAAUCCUCCUCUGCCCUCUUUGAUAACGUGUCAAUCAUACAAGAUCAUGUUCUAAUUACUAUAUAUCUACAGUAUAUGUCUUAAGUUUCCAAAAUAACCCUUCCCUUCUAUCUCAGAGACUUUUCCGUCCUUGUCCUUGUCCUCUUCAUCGUUUUCGUAACUAGUUUGUGAUCGAGAAUUUGGCUAAAAGAAUAGAAUCAGAGUAUGCAGAUCGAGAAAUUAAUCUCGAUCAAAUAAUAGAAACCAUUACAUAUAUAGGGGGAAAACGCUACUAAUCUGGCGAAGGGCAAAAUAGUCAUUUGUAGCUAUACAGACUAGUUAUAAAUAUUUAUUUAUAUAUAAUUUAAAAGUUGCAAGAAUCAAGUAUGUAGUAGUAUUCUAAAUGUGCAGGUGGAUAAGCAACUACUCCCCAGUAUUACAAGUCAAAAAUAUAAAUAUAUUUUUGCAUGAAGAAUACAUGCAAACGUGACUUGUAUUGGGGCCCCUUCGCUCCUGUUCAAAAGCCUCGAUUAAGCUAAAUAUCCAAAGAUUAUAUAAAGUAGGUCAGUGUCAUGCAUUUGUGUCAACACUAAUUAAAGGGCAUAUUAGUACUUGGAAAGGACUUUAUUUUGUAGUCAUAAUUAAGUGGCUGCGUCUCCCUUACUCAAUAACUUUGCUUUUAACUAUUUUUUAUUCUUAGCCCCACACCCUAUAAAACCCUAACAACACAAGGGCCAAGAACCAAAUCCAAACUCUCCAACACCCCUUUAGUUUCUUUUCCCUUCCGCAACAACACUCUUCACAAUUCAAACACAGCCCAAGGUUUGUUAAACAAAUUAACCAACUCCCAAAACCAACUUUUUCUUUUCUACAACAGUGGAGAAGCAUUUGGAGUUGUUAUUAAUUGACCCUAACAAUGCAAGUGAAUUGUUAUGGCUCUUGCAGGAGGUAGGAAGGGAUCGAUGGGGAGGGCGCCGUGCUGCGACGAUGUCGGGCUAAAGAAGGGGCCGUGGACGCCGGAGGAGGAUAAGUUGCUCACGGACUACAUUCAGCAGAACGGCGACGGCUGCCUAAGCUCGCGGGCCUCAACAGGUGUGGCAAGAGCUGCCGCCUCCGGUGGACGAACUACCUCCGCCCUGACAUCAAGAGGGGGAGGUUCUCCGAGGACGAAGAGAAGCUCAUCAUCCACUUACACUCGGUCCUCGGAAACAAGUAUGUAUAUAUAUAUACACACUCCAUUAUCCCUGUCAACUUUUGAUCUUGUUAGCUUCCAAAGCAUAUACCAAUCAGCAAAAAUGUAACUCAAGUAGAGCUAUACGUUUCAACAGUAUUGAUUUCUUGCAACAGAUGCAGAAGUUUUAAAUUAGAGUUUCUACUUUUACAACUUAAAAACAUAUUUCAACUUCCCUGACCUUCUAAGAGCUUCUCCUUUCUAGUUAGAGUGGAGAAGUUGUUCGAGAAGCUAGGCUAGAACCAUUCUAAAAGUUUUUUGUUUCUAAAAAUCUUCUCCUUAACUUUCAAUAAGAACUAACUGAUAGUUUUGUAUUCGAAGGUGGUCAUCGAUCGCGACGAGGCUGCCAGGACGAACUGAUAACGAGAUCAAGAACUACUGGAACACGCACCUCAGAAAGAAGCUCCUCAACAUGGGGAUCGACCCGGUCACGCACAGGCCUAGGGCUGAUCUUAAUCUACUCGCGAGCCUUCCCAACUUGCUCACGGUGGCCAACCUCGGAAACAACCUAAGAAGCCACUGGGAUAUUAAUGCUCUUAGACUUCAAGCUGAUGCCGCAAACCUAGCGAAGCUGCAGGUGCUGCAGAGCCUUCUCCAAGUCUUAACUAACAAUACUGCAACAAGUGCUCCAAACAUGGACUUGCUUAGUCUCUUGGGCUCAUCAUCAUCAACCUCUUUGAGGAACAAGCAGUUAAGUGAUCUCCUCCAAUUCAGAAGCCAAUACGAGGGGAUUCUCGGCAGCUCUCUUGGCCUCCAGAGCGCGAUCACGGCAUCUUCGAGCUUAUCGAACCUAGAGCUGAUGAACUCUCUUCACAACUUCCAAGGUUGCAUGGAAACAAAGCCUAUCAAUAUUGACGGCGGCGGCGACGACGCAGUCGCCGCUCCGAUGGAGGGUUGUAGCUCAAGUGAGCUUGGAUUGGAGAGUAACGCCGCAAGUACUAACACUAAUCUUUGCUCACUACCUACUUCAAACUCUACACCUUCACUGGUCUCAGCUUCCCCAGAGAACUGCCCCCAUGCCGACCCGAUCAACGCGAACGACGGAUCGAUCAAUUCCCCGACCUCGGCUCCCUUCGACGGAUGGGAGAGCCUCAAUCUCGAUGACCUGAACAUUGAUCUUGGCUUGAAAGACAUUCUAGAGUAAGCAACUUCAUUGAUACUUUAAUUUCUAUUUUGUUAGUACUAUAUAUUUUUCAUCGACAGGUUAGGUGUUUAGCCAUUGAAACAUGCAUGCGUGUAUAUAUUUACGAUACGAUCUCUUAUUCCGCAGGCAGAUGUCGUGGCUGAACACGCCGUUGAGCGCGGAGGGGAGCCAUUAAAUAUUUCUCCAUAGGAAGCAGCAAAAAGAAGAAAAAAAUUGUAUUCAUGGAUUGAUUUGUUAUACAUUUAAGAAUUAAUUCAAAGUUAGUCAUUAGUUAGUUGUUGUGAAGGAGAUAAUUUUAGUUAUGUACAAAAAGAAAAAAGAUCAAGUACACUUGUAUGAGUAUUUUCUUUUUCUUUUUCUUUUUCUUUUUCUUUGUCUUCUUUUGAAGGACAUCCCAUGUAAUGAUUUUCAUAUGGAAUAAAUUACUUUUUUAGUUCUUUCAUCUCAUGGUUACUUGUUUAUGGUUAAUUGUUUGACUUGUUGUUGUUCUUUUUUAUAUUUUUUUCAGCUACUAGUAAAGUUGAUCAUAGAAAUUUCUACUAAAUUUAUGGCACUGUUACGCUAUUUGUUGCUAUGUAUAUAUAUAUAGGCCAUAUAUAGAUAUUCAAAAAAACCAAAGAAAAGUGAUUUUUCGAUUCACUUCUUGUUCUUUUACUCUUCAACUACGAGUAAAGUUGGUAGUAAUACGAUCCUCUGCUUAUACGUACAAGUGACAAUGUAUUAGUAGUUACUACAUGAUUUACAUUGCUAUAGAUACUAUUGUGGUUGGUAAUAUGUGGGGCCUAGAAGUCAAAAAUGGGUAAAGAAAAUGUCAUAUUCUUUAUUUGGUGCAUAUAUAAGAGCUUAGAUUUAUAUAUACAACAUGAAGUGCUCUAAAAUAGGGUAUAUCCCUGUUUAAUCAAAAAAAAAAAAAAAAAAAAAAAAAAAAAAAAAAAAACAUGAAGUGCUCUUUCAAAUCAAGGUUACUUGCUUGAUGAGAAUUGAACAUAUAUAUAUUUAGUUUUAGUGUCCACAUCAGAAGAUGUUAAUAAGGGGUAGGAUUGGGUAGCUGAAACAUUUGAUAACGUAAACGGUAUAUUAUUUGAUUAUUAGUUAGUUGGAGUUGGAGAUGGCUUAUGCAAGUGGAAAUAGAAGGUGACAAAGACCCUGUUCCUGGAACUAGAAGCCUUAGGCCCUUAACUUGUGUGUUUGAUGAGGAGUAUGUAAGAGUUUGACCUUUGAUAAGGGACAAGUCAUCACCAUAUGCACCUGUUAAAAGGGGAACAGUUAGGAAAAGUUUUAACUAUAUAUUUUUUAUAUAUGUGUCUAUCCAAUGAGUUGGGGAACUUGUUUGGUACUUCUUUUUCUUCUUUUUUUUUUUUUGUUAUAAUGCAAAAGUGGAAGAUCAGAAAAUAUAUAAACACAUGAAGUGUGGGGAUAAAUUAUUAUUGAUUUGUGUUUUUUUUCUUUUUUGUUGGGGGGGUAUUUUGGAACAUAAGUCAUAUAAUUAGUUAGUCAUUAGGUGGACUCAUUGCUUAAACCACAAGCCAUUGACUGUUUGCAAAUUAAACCUAACAGCCUUAGCCCCCCAAACCAUAAGCCAUCUCUCUCUCUCUCUCUCUCUCUCUCUCUCUCUCUCUCUCUCCUGUGUGUGUUACACAAUAUUCUCUCUCUCUCUCUCUCUCUCUCUCUCUCUCUCUCUCUCUGUUACACAAUAUUUGUGUGCAUUGGCUUGUGUGUUUGUCUUUAUGUGUGAACAGUGCUUUGCUUUCUAAUUGGAGGGAUUACUUUAAUAUUUAAUACUAAUUACUGGUUUAAUUGGCAGUGUCAUUAAACAAGCUGGGUAGAGAUACAAUACUCUAAUAGCUACAUAGACCUUCGCACUCGUAAGUCAUUUUUAAUAAUAGAAUUUCUGAAUCAAUAAUUUAUGUACUGUUAAAUAUAAUUUAGAAUAUUUAAAGUAUUUGAAAAUCAAAUUUUAUAAACUCUAAAAUUUUUAUUAGGUUUAUCAAGCAGAUAUAAAAUAAAUAGUCAAAAUCAAAUGACUCUUAAAAAUAAGAGAUUAUUAUCUUCAAUUAAAGAUUAGUGUUAUUGAUCUUGAUUUAGAUAGUAAAUAAAAAAAUUUUAUUAAAAAUUCAACAAAUUCUAAUCUUUUACACUAUUAAAUUAGAAAACACCCUAUAUAUAUCGACCGUAGAAAUUGUCAAUUUUGAGAUUUUUUGAUCGUAUAAAAAAAAAUCAUAAAAUUCGAUUUGGAAAAUGUCUAAAUACUCUAAAUUAUAUUUAAUGGAUUAAAUAGUUAGUCUUGACUGUGUCGUACAUUUGUUUUGCUUGUGAUAAUUUUUUCCUAUUUGAAGUUUAUUUAAUAAAAUAUCUGAAUUUUGUUACAAUUCACCUGUAAUAAUAAUUCAACAUGCUAUACAAAUCUUGUGUGAGAAUUAAAUAUGCACAGGCCCUCAUCGUACAGGUCUAACCCUUUUUAAAUUAAGAGUGUUGUUCAUCGUCCUAUAUAUAUAUAAUAUAUAUAUAUAUAUAAAUAUAAUAUAAUUAUAUAUAUAUAUAGAGAGAGAGGGAGAGAGAGAGAGAGAGAGAGAGAAAGAGAGAGAGAGAAAGAGAGAGAGAGAGAGAGAGAGAGAGAGAGAGAUUUUAGCUUUGAAAGGGAAAAUUUUGAUCGAAUCAAUUUAUAUAUAUUGUUAUUAUUACAUGCAUAUUUAGUCCAUAUAUAGCUAGAUACCAAAUGAAAAUUAAAGUGAUUACAUGUCAUGCCACCUGAAAGAUAAAACAAACCACAGAAUAGCAUUCUCCAUGCAAGAUAUAUAGCUUUUCUAUGACCACAUGUCAUGUGUAUAUUUACUCAUGGUUCAAGUAUCAUUGCUUACAUCAAGGGUUUGACCACUUGGUUUAAUUUCCUCAGUAUUUUCAAAUGGACUUGAUCUCCUCAUUUAUACACACCAUCAUCAUCAUCACUGUAGCUCACUUUGAGAUGAAAGAUAGGUUUAAUAUUGCUUUCUCAACACAUAAAACCUUGUCCCACAAGGGAUUGCAUGAUAUUUAGUAGGUAAACUAUGGACCUAUAAGGAACAACCCCUUACCUACUCUCAGCAGAAUAUGUUGUGGUCUAACCUAAAGCUUCAUUGUCAUUGCAUCAUAUGGGUAUAAAGAAGGAAAUGUUACUUCCACAUCUAUGUACUUUGUGUCAAUUCCUAGUUACUUUCCUAAUGUUGAUCUAGAACAAUCAAUCAAUCACCUUUGAUCAAUUCUAGCUCUAUGUUAGUUUGCUUGAAGAGUACAACCAUCAAAUGACCACAUGCUUUGAUCACUAUAAUUCAGGACCAAUUUUUUAACAAACCAUAGUAAUUUCAUGAUUUAAAACAACAAGAGUUUCUUACUAUAUUAAUUUACUACACCAUAGUUCAAACAAAAGGAGAGACUUUGGAAAGAAUAUGUUUUCAAUGUCCUGAUUAAUUAACCUAUGACCUUCUUUAGUGGAAGAUCAUGACCUUCGUUUAAUUGAAUAUUAAUCUCGGCGGCGUUCGAGGUUUUGGUAUUGCUUCUAUGGAUUGAAAUCCAAAAAAGGUGUUUCACAUGUACACGCAGUAGAAGGAGAUUAGGUUGAACAGUACUAAUUUAUGAUAGCUACAAUUGAACAUGCAUGGUUUUAGAUGUGCUUACCAUGAAUGGUGUUUUCCUUGCAGUAAUACAAAUCAAAUCCUUCUUCCUUAAUCCUACUUAAGACAAAUGGUACAAGAUAAAUUUUGUUUCGAAAUAAGACAAUAUUUUAAUUGUUGGUAAGGUGAAGUCGCCAAGGUUAAGUUAAUGAAAUUAGGCCGUUAAUAGAAGUUGACUUACUUAAACUUCUCUUAAUUAUGCUACCAUCACAUAUGGCCACAUGCACGCACAGGAACGAGGAGAGGGGGGAGAUCAAAAUAUUAUUAAUAAGUCAGCAUAAAUAAUUUAUUUAACUUUCCAAAUUUGAAUCAUGAUACCCGGCAAAGCAGCUAGCAACUCUUAGAACUAAUAAUAAAUGAAAAAAUACCUAUAGACUAUAAUGUAUACAAUACCAACUCAUCAUGCAUCAACAGUAUCCUAAGAUACCUUCCAAGGCUCUAAGUAAAAUAAUGAUUUGAUACUUGUGCUCUAAUGAUGCUAGAUGAUCUGAAUCAAUGAUCCAUACUGUUAGAUAUAAUUUAGAGGCCAGCAACAAGGAGUCAUUAAUUGUUGUUUGUCUUGGGGCACCAAAAAUAUAAACACAAAUUUUACUGCAAGCGCACAACAAGACGGAUAAAAUUAAGUGUAACUGUACUUAGUUUUCAAUAAAGUGUAUAUAACUGGACAAAAAUUAAACAUAAUUUUCAUGAUAUUUUAAUCUUCAGUAAUAUUUCUUUUUAUUUUCAGAUAUCCACAAUUAAACAAUAUACUUAAGAAACUAAAAUAUAUAUAUAUAAAAGAACUUCAGAUAAUAUCAAAUUCUCUUUUUUGGUUUUUUUGUCCUAAUUCAGGUGCAGUGUCUAAAUAUUGUCAUAUAUAUUUGAAGAACCUUCUUUUUGGUCUGGGUUUCCUAUUUAUUUUUCUAUGGGGUUAGAUAAAAAAGAUGAGGUAUUACUGGUAGGAGAGAACACCAAAGAGCAUUAAUUCCACAACAAAAUGCAUUUCCUCAUUUAACUCUCAAAACACCCUCUAUAAGUGUUUAACUGUGUUUAGGUUUGAAGCCAUAUAAUUAAAUUUGGGCCGUCUAUUUUUUUUAAAAAAAAAGAAAAGCCAUUAAUAUGUAGGGCUAUGAAUCCUCAACCUCAACCUGCAUCUUUUGCCUAAUCUUUUAUUUGUUAGGAAAUUUCUAUAGAAAGAAAAUAAUUAAUCAGAUUAAAUAAACAUUAUUUGGUAUAAAAGAAAACUAUUAAUAGAUUUAUAUAUGAAUAUUGUAACGCCCCAAUAGUCCCACAUCGAAUGGAAUACUGAUUCCGAUCAGUUUAUAUGAGGCCUAACGUUAGUAAUAAUAACUAGACUUAAACAUUUUGAUCCGGUGAUUUGGGCCCAAUAAGUUAUUAUUGCUGGCGGGUCGGUUCGUUACAAUUAAUCCUAAAUCUUAAGCUGCAUUUUGGAAAAUUUAGAGGUUAUUAAUAGGUUUAUGAAUCCUCAACUUCAAGCCGUAUUUUUGCUUAACUAUUUAGAUAUUAGAAGCAAUUUCUCUAGGAGGAAAAAAAAACAUUAAACAUCUUAACUUGUUGGGUCUACUUCACUAGCCUAAAAUGUUAUAGCCCAGCUUUAAAUCCUAUAUAUCAAGUAUAAUAGGGCUAAACAUUUUAAUGAGACUUAAGAAAUUAAAAGGGUUAAAGAUGCUAGAAAUAGAGUAAUUCUAGAAUAGGUGACCCCUAGAUCGAUCCUUAAUAGUAUUGUCCAAAUAUUUUAGGUUACAAAAGAUAAUUAUUAGGUCGUAUAACUUCAUACAGUCAUCUACACUUUUCUUUUGCAGAGAAUUUAAUUAGAGGCCAUAGAAAAUAAAUACUUGAGCUAACUAAACCCUUUUUUUAUUUGUUUAAAUAUUUUUCUUGGAGAAUUUAAUCCUCAACCUCAAGCUGCAAAUUCUUCUAAUUUAAUUGUUACCAAUUUCUUAAAAAAAAUGGAAAAUCCUUUUUUUGGAAAAAAGAUAAUUAUACGAGCUUUUCUUUUGUGGAGAAAUUAGACGUCAUAGAAAAUAAAUAUUAGAGUUGUCUAAACAUUUUUUUUCUGGCUUAAAAACGAUAAAGAUAAUUAUUAAUAGGAACUUUGAUUUUAAAAAAUAUAAUUAUUAAUAGGAACUUUAGUUAAAAAAAAUAUAAUUAUUAAGAGUGUUAUCUAAACUUUUGUUUUCUUAUUUUUGGUGAAAAAAAAUUAUUAUCAACAGGGUUGUACAAACUUUUCUUUUGUGGAGAAUUUAGAGGUCAUAGAAAAUAAAUAUUUGGGUUGUCUAAACUUUUUUUUAGGCUUAAAAAAGGUAAAGAUAAUUAUUAAUAACUUUGGUUUAAAAAAGAUAAUUAUUAAUAGGGUUAUCUAAACUUUUAUUAUUAUUAUUUUGGAGAAUUUAGAGGUGCCAUAAAAAAAUAAGGGUUAAUUUCAUACAAGCUCAUGUAAAAAUAUCAAAUAAUAGAUAAAUUCCUACAAAAAUUAAAUGAUCAAAUUUAUCCCUUCGAAAAUUCUUUGGUUUAUGAAUAUAUCCUUCCAAAAGUUCAAGUUCAUUCAUAUAUGUCCCUACUGUUUGAUUCACCGUUAGUUCUUUAAUAGUGAGUGUGUAAAUUUACUAAUUUACUUUUACAAAUUUGGCGCUACAAAUUAAAAACUAUCUUUUUUUUUCUUUCUAUCACCAACUUCACUGUAGCAUGUGCAGCGCACCUCAUUUUUACCGCGACCGAAAGCCUUGCCUUCGACUUUGACGUCGCCGUCGCAAUAGGUCUCGCCAUUACCAUAGAUAAAGAGGAGAGGAUGAGAAAAAUUAAGGUACUCAAUAUUGGAGUACAAAUUAUAUAUAUAAGGGUAAAAAGAUUGUUUUACUCCUUAACUACUUGUAGGUAGCUUUUUUAACUCAUGAUUAUCUAAAUUUUAAUAACAAAAGAUAUAUUUGCAAACUGAAGAACUUUUAGAGGGAUAAAUUUAAUAACUUAAGUUUAAUAAGGAUAUAAUUGCUAUUUGAUACUUUUGUAGAGAAUUUAGAGGCCAUAGAAAAUAAAUAUUUAGGUUGUCUAAACUUUUUUUGGGGCUUAAAAAAUAUAAAAAUAAUUAUUAGUAACUUUGGUUUAAAAAAGAUAAUUAUUAAUAGGGUUAUCUAAACUAUUUUUUUUAUUAUUUUGGAGAAUUUAGAGGUGCCGUAAAAAAAUAAGGGCUAAUUUUAUACAGGUCCAUGUAAAAUUAUCAAAUAAUAGAUAAAUUCUUACAAAAAUUAAAUGAUCAAAUUUAUCUCUUCGAAAAUUCUUUGGUUUACAAAUAUAUCCCUUCAAAAGUUCUAGUUCAUUCAUAUACGUCUCUACUGUUUAAUACACCUGGUUGAGUGCAUAAACUGACUAGUUUACUUUUACAAAUUUGGCGCUACAAAAAACUAUCUUUUUUAUCUCUCCCUCACCAACUUCGCCGCAGCAUGUGCAGCAUAUCUUAUUUUUACUGCGAUCGAAAGUCUCGCCUUCGACGUCGUCGCCACGAUAGGUCUCACCGUUACCACAGAUAAAAGUGAGAGGGUGAGAAAAAUUACGGUACUCAACAUUGGAAUACAAAUUAUAUAUAUAAUGAGUAAGAAGAUUAUUUUACUCCUUAACUACUUAUAGGUAGCUUUUUAGGUCAUGAUUAUCUAAAUUUUAAUAACAAAAGAUAUAUUUGCAGACCGAAAGACUUUUAGAGGGAUAAUUUAAUAACUUAAGUUUAAUAAGGAUAUAAUUGCUAUUUGAUACUUUUGGAGGGAGCCGUAUACAAUUAUCCCAAAAAAAUAAGAAAAAAAUUUGGGGUGAGAGAGGCUCGAACUCUCGACCUCAGGAUAACUCUGCAAAGCUAUGAGACCUACGCGCUAGCCAACUGCGCCACCACCCCUUUUGUUUAAAUUAAGAAAUAAUUUAAUUUAUUGUGUAUCAAAAAUAGAAUAUUUAAAUUUGUAUUUUGUUUUAAGUCAUUUUCACUGUUUAUAAAGGUUAUUUUAGUUAAUAUUACCAAUGGUGCGUAAUAAUAUAGAUCUUGUCUCACAUUAGAUGCAUCAAUGCAUCAUGCAUGUAAAGCACUAAUUAAUUAUUAGCAUUUAUGUAUGGGACUAGCAUGUUGGAGUGAGUAAGUUUAAUGUUCAUGCAUUAUUAAUUAAUUCACAUGGUGUUACUCAUUUUAUCAUAUAUGUUAUCUUUUGAUAAGUUGGAGCACUACUUAAUUAAAGAACAUGAAAAGUAGUAAUGGUGUAUAUAAUCAAUUAUUACUCUUCAUGCUUCGGAAAUCCCACAUGGAUAAAGUUCGAACUCUCGCAUGCGUGUCUCAUAAAAGAAUUAGAAGAGAUCGCCUGACUCGAACUCAAGACCCUCUACUCUGAUACCAUAUGAAACAACUGUUGUACUCUAAAAACUUAAACUAUUAAAAAAUGGUGUUUAUAUAUUUUUAUAUUUAACAUAAAUUAAUGGUUCUUCAUUUACCCCAUUAUUAUUAUUCACAUAAUUUUAUACUUCAUCUGAAUAUGGGAAUAAGUUAUCCAAUAAUAUCAUAUUUGAUAUCAAAAUUUUCUAUUAUGAUUUGGGGCUAGAAUAAACUAUAAUUAAAUUUCUCGAAUGGAAUAGCAUAUUCGGCCUUUAAAUUAUUUUUUAUCAGAAUAAGAUGAAACACCUCGUAUGUGAAAUAUAUUAUCUUAUCAAAUUAAGGAAAAAACAAGAUUUUCAAGGAACGGAAACCAAACUCCUACUUUUCAAUUACACAACAAAAUUCUCAUUUCAAAUAACUUUUACACACCUCAUCACGAAAUUAAAGAGAUAAUUGAUCAACUCAUAGCACAAAUAAAUCGAAAUCUUAAUAUAAGUUCAUUAAAACAAUCCAAUACAUAUAUACAUAUCAAAUGAUCAAGUACUUUAAGAUCGCCUUCCAAUUAGGAGAUCCGAUACAUUUCAAAUCAAAUGAGGUCGGAUUAGAUCGAAUCAAAUUUACAUUUAUUUAUUCUUUUUCUCUAUCAAUGUGCCUCAAAUCCAACUUUUUUUUUUUUUUACUUGUCAUCAUAUUGAAAUUAAAGAGAAUUAAUGAUCAAGUCAUAGUACUACAAAUUGAAAUCUUAAUGUAAGUUCAAUAAUACAAUCCAAUACAUACAUGCAUUUCAAAUGACCAAGUACCAUUUCAGCAUUUCUCUCACUCUCUACAUCCUCUUCGGGACCGCCUCGCGGUUGCGUAGAUCCUCGAAGCUCCAAUCCCUUCGAACCCCGCCGCUUCGCAUCAACCGAGGCCCGCCCUCGGCGUCCCUCGACGUGGGGCUAUCGACUCUCUCUAUCUUUCGAUGCUUAUUCCCCUUCCCCUUGCUGUAUCGUGCCAAUUCGAUAGACCCUUCACGUAAUUGCGAGUAGGGGGGUGGCGGUAGUUCGUCCGACCAACUCCGUUUGAUCCCGCAGCACCGCACGGUUCGCGGGCUUUUGUAAGGGUCGCAAUCCAAGUCCGAUUCGCCGCCCCUCGACAUCACAUUACAUGUUAAGCAUGACAUGCUCAUGUUGAUGACCCAGUAGGAGUCUCCUACAUUUGAAAUAAAAGGAAUGUAGAUUGGAAUGGAUUCAAUUGAAAUGAAUUGGAUUGAGUUGGUUUUGAGAGGGGGAGGUUUAUGUAUGUAUAUAUGGUGGUUGAGAUGAGGAAAUUAAAGGAGAAUGCCUAGGGAAUGGAGUUGUCAUUGAGUUAUUUUCAGUUUGAUUUAUCCUUAAUUGGUUAAUCUUUAGUGGGGCUUUAUUGUGUUUGCUCCUAAAUUAGGGGCAAGUUAUGCUAAGAUUAGGCUUGUGGUUGGCCUAUUCAAUUUUAAGGCACAAAUCCUCCACCAAUAAUGUGCUUGGUACUAAAUAUACACUUGCUAAUAUGGUUUCCUCAAAAAAUUUGUUUGCUAGGCCUAAAUUGCUUUAAUAAAGGGUUGUUUUGUUGCAUGUAGUUAUAAAUACAAUACCAAUAGAGAUCGAUGCAUGUAAUUGAAAAUGCAGCAUAUACACUUGCAUUUAACUCGUUUGAGGUAUGUAGUUGAGAGUAUUGCAAGUACAAAAAUUAUAUUUGGUUGCUCCCACGCAGUUAGAAGCUACAUUUUCUAAUCUUAACAUUUCGUAUGCAAAACAGUAAAAAUUUUUUAUUUUUUGUUUAUGAGAUGAGUGGAUUGGUAAGAUUAUAGAAUUACUUUCUCCACGUAUUGCAUUUGAAGAGAGAGAAAUGUAGCAUGUGGGCCUCGAUAAGCAGCUCCAACUAUAGAACUAAAACAAAUCAAAUUGAUUAUUUUGGCUACAUUACAACUUAAAAUGUAGGGAAUUUUUGGAGGGGUUUAAUUUCAUAUACCGUAGUUAAUGGAAUCAAUAAAAAACAAUCUAGUUGGUCUAUUCUAGUACGCACAAACAUACAAGAAUAAACCUUUCUUUCCCACAUCAUCUCAAUAUGCAGAUAUCAUACUGUUAUUAUCAUUCAAAAAUCUCUCUUUUUUUUGGACUCUUUAUUACUAAGCAUUACUCGGUAGACAAAUCCUACAUUAUUAUUUCAUAUAUAAACAACAACACCCAAAUAAAAACUUCAUUAUAUUCAUAGUAGUUGAAAAAUAAUAACUUCGUUCCUUCGACCACAUUCCAGGAUAGAAUUACGCUAUUGCCACUGACUAAACAGGCCACUGUUCGUCUCGGUACAACCACAAUAUUUCAAAUUGGUAUGAUAACAACAUCGAUGUAUUGUUAAUAGUAUUAAAAGUGUUGUUUUUUUUUUUUUUCGAUGCAUAAAUCAUAUAAAUCUAAGCUCGAGUUAGUCAACAUAAAGAACAAUCAUAAGCAACACUCAAUUCUAUCAAACAAAAACAAAAGGGCCAAAAAACAUUAACCAACAAAUGAAAGCUCCCCAAAACAUUUAAUCGGAUCAUUUGCUUCUCACUAAAUCUUGCAAAGAGUCAAAAAUAAUAACAUCGACAUUACAUAUUUACAACCUCAGCUACAAGCAUUAGGUACCGAUUGUGAUGAGAAACAACUUCAAUAAUGUAGACAACGCAUUGUGCUUAAAACUAAUUCAAUUAGCGAAGAAGAAACGAUAAACACCCAGGAUACAACAAAAAGGCCCGGUAUCAACCACGGAUGUGUCGGGUCCUCUCUCUACCUCUUACAAGCUGCACAAAUAAUUGAACCACACGGAAAACAAGUUGCUUCUGGAAGCGGCGCUUCACGAUUGGACGUUCGCUUUGUUCCCUGCGAGGAUGAGGGAGAUCUCCAGCCCACGGCUGAAUGCUUGGUUGAACAGAAGGCGGGACUGGAAGGUGGACACGAAAGGGAACCACGAGAGCACCGCCACUGGGAUGAAGAUAAGUAUGCCCAUUCCCGCGUCAUACAGACGAGCAAUCUCGCGUAGCGAGUCCCACAGGCCCAGCCGUUUCACCACGCUUCUCCAUGUGAUUGCUAUCUGUUAAGAUUGUAGAAAUGUUUUUUUUUUUUUUGGGGUAAAUAGGAAAGUUAGCUUCGAGUUGCACAAAAAAAGUGAUAAAUAUGAAUGAGGUCUGUUGGAGAUUGCAUUAGGGUAAGAGAAAAGAGAGGCUAUUAUGUUCAAUAACAGGAAUAUUAAACACAACAAACGAGAACAUGUUUAGUAUAUGAUACAUACAAUACAUACAGGAACUCGAGAUCAGUCAUUAAAGCAUAGUUAAGAAAAUACUAGUACAACAGGGUGCUAAGUACAUAUAAACAUCAAUAAAUGACCUGCUCAGUAGGGGUGUUCGUGUGAACUGAAAAAAAAACCAAAUACCAACCUGAACAGAACCGGAACCAAACCGAUAAAACAGCUUUUCUUUUUUGUUUUUUUUUUUUCAGAUCCAGUUUGGAUCCUGUUCGGUUCCAGUUUUCACUUUUCACUUUUCAAGGAGCCUCUCACUUUUCAAAAUUGCACACCUCUCACGUCUUCUCCCUUGACUCACCCUGUUUCUCCACUGGCAGCUCUCCCACCAAACCCUCUCAAGCUAUCCGCUCCCACUUCUACUGUCACCCUAAACACUCUGCAGCUUCCCCCACUCACUUCCACCCUAGCUUGCAGCCGCCUACCGGCACUCUAGUGCCACCUCUCAAAGUCUCUCUCUUAGAUCUUCACCAUCGCCCUCUCUUCGCUGCUGUCGUCAAUGAUAAACUAAACCGCAAAACUAGUUCUCCAUAAAACCGGUUUCGGGGCCGGUUUUUAAGUUUGACAGAACCAGUUAAAACCAGUUCAGGACAGAAGUUUUGUGGUCAGUCCAGUUAAUAGGACAUUUCCACCCCCACUGUUCAGAAUGUGAUAGAUAUUUUUUUAUAUCCGUAAUAGAAAACUGAAUGUGAGCCUAGAUAUAGGACCAACUGAAAUCAAGAUGACAUGAUAUGUAAAAGCCUUGUCUCAUAUGAGAAUAAUUAAGGUUUACACAAAGAAACUAUAGUUAUGAGAUGCUUCACUACAUUAAUAAGAAUGUUGCAUCAGAAAGAAACUCAAUGACAAGCUUGCUAUCAUAGUGAAAAAGAAAAAGUCACAGACAGAGAACACACAGGCAGUUUUAGGUAAUGACUAAGUUUUGUAGAAAUGUGAUAGAGUGCGCAAUAAGAAACAUCGUGCAUUACCACUUAACGACAAUAAAUACAUCAGAAAAAGAAUCAAAAUUCUGAUAAGAAUUAUAAUAUCUUAGUUGUUACGGGAUUGUUGAGGCUAUCAAAAUAAACAGGAGGCAGUUGGACAAAAAUGAGCAGAUUAAUGGCAAGCAGGUUUAGCUUUCCUCAAUUAUGUUUCAAGUUAAAAGUUUGCAAUUAAAUGUUUAAGCUAUCGAUAACAUGAAACAACUAAGGAAUAAAAAUGAGGAACUUACAGACAACACAGCCCAUCCAGUUGCAAUAAAACCCAGAACACUAGCAAAUAAAUCGGCAAUUGUCAACGCAGUGAAUAUGACAGCAAGGAUGAUAAAGACAAUGGACCCUAUGGCUGUUGCACCCUGAAUAAACCGUAUAGUAAGCUGAACAUGGAUCUUUCCAGGGGUGAAGGUGAAAACCUGCAACAUCAUGUUAAACAGAGAUGAUUAGCAAAAAGAAGUGGGAAAAAAAUAUCAAGGAUUUUUUUAUUUUUUUUUUUUUUGUUUGCAGGAAUAAUUGGAGCACAAAGAGGGAAAGGUGGGAAAUAAUCAAAGAUAACAAACCUUGAAUACCAGUACAAUGACAAGGAGGACAAUCCACGAGAAACCAUAAAGCUGCAGAGAAAAGAAAAAAAUGUUAAUUUGUCUGAGAACAAUAUAGAGUUGUUAUGUACAAAUAUAAAAAGCAAAAAUAUAUAAUUUUUGAUAACCUAAAUAAAUAUAUUGCAGGUCAUUGAGAAUUUUUUAUUUAAUGAAUAUAAAGAUGACUUACUCCAAGGGAAGUAUUAUGUCCAGUAAGAUGUAGCUUGUAUACAAUGCCAUACUGAAAUAUUAAAAACCGUAAGGACAAGAUCGUCUCCAGGAUGCGUCCCCUCCACGUAUGGAUAUGAGCCUGCAAAUAUGCAUACCAAUGUAAGAAGAACAGAAAAGGUAAUGCAUUUGACUUAAUUUAAACUUUUUCCUUUUGUUCAAGAUAAAUAAUGAUUUGUUACUCCCUGUAAAAGAACACAUAACAAUUACGAAUAUAUAACAAAACAUUAUUUCUUUGGUGAUUUAACUAGAAAAAGAACAAGAACCUGAGGGGGAGGAACAAUACAGAAUGAUUAUAAUAAUUCUUGGGUGCAAACAAUGAGAAAAAGAUAGGAUAACCCACUUAAUAGCAAUAUAUCACCAAAGAAGAUGACUUCAAGCAGAAUGGAGUUAGAUGUAAAUUGAAAGACCUUUCUUAUGCGUCCUCGUUGCGCUAACCCAAAAUUUCAAAAUGAAGGUGAAAGUAGAUUCAUAACCAUUUCUGCCGUCAUUGAAAUUAUCUUCAGCCAAAAAACCAUUUAUCAAAAUUUUUUAUCCAACAACAAAAUGAAAUAACCAAGAAGCAAAAAAUUCAUGCAGAGGUGCAAUACUAUGCGGGCAAUAAUCAAGUUCACCUCGUACAAGCACUGAUAAUGAGACAAACAAACGAGAAAGACAUCAUGCACUUCAACAUACGGAAAUAUAGAUUCUCACCUGCUCCUCAUCCCACCACGAUUCCCAACUCUGUUCUCCUUUAACACCAACACCGCCUUUAUAGAAAAGCCAACUAGUCCAGUUAUCAUAAUCAUCAACAGUCCUUGUGAUUGCACAUCAAAUCAAAAAAAGAAAAAAGAGAGAAUGUCAAUACCAAUAGUCAAUAACAAUAGUAUAUGCAAACAACAGAGCUAAAAGUGCAGUGCUUUAAAGGUGCUAUAAAAGUUUAUACAGUCAUGACCAAUAUCAUCUGCUUUUGACUACUGCUAGAAGCACUGCACUAGGCGUUGAUCCUCGCUGAAGAGCCUAGGAACUAGCUGUCUAAUUUGCUGUUAUAACGAUCAUACUGAGCAAUCUUUAAACCCUAAUCGAACACCCUUUAGUAAGGUGGUUUCAGAAUUUAAAGGUCAUAUAAGACAUAACAGAAUAGAACACGGUCCUCCCAAAAAUUAGUAUAAUCACAUUUGUUAAUUUUACUUAUGAUAGAAAAGUAAGGUGUUAAUAUUUGUCCUCCUUCAAUAAUAUGAUUUAAAAGCUUGCUGCCUGAGUUAUAGGGCUUCUGCCUAUAGGUAAUAGAUAUAGAUUUUAGGGUCCAUCCGCCUGUGAUUGCCUGAUCCCUUCAACAACCUUGUCUACUGAUCACAAAUUAAGACUGAGAUUUGCAGCAGACUGAUAAUCGGUAAUAACUUUUCUUUACCCAAAAUAUGUCAAAUUAUCCACCCUUUUAAGUCAACACUUAAUCAUGGGGUAUCUAGCAAAAUGUCCUGCAGUAUGCAAGUAGUUAGCAUGCCCAUAGUCCCAUACUGUACUUAGCUACCUUGAGAGCUUUAACAAGAAGUCAACCGGUAAUCCAUUUGAGAAGUUUGAUGAAAAAAUGUGUACUUUUACCAACAGACUUACUUCUGCCACUCAAACCCAGAGGGGUUAAAAAUGUAUGGUGCGAAAAGCCAUGAUAUGACCAGAAACCAACUACUGAUAGUGACGAGGAUAAACGUAGAUGCACCACCAUCGGUGUAACCAUAUGCUAUGUAAACAAUGAGGAGGAUUGUAACCUCAAAACUGCAAAAAUAAAAGUUUCUUAAGAGGCAAGCCCAAAGGAGUAAUUCAAAAGAAAAGUAGAAAACUAGUCAAAAUUUUUAAACAGUAUUCAAUCUUACGCUUUAACAAAGUGGCUUCUGGAGUAAAGUCGAUAAUUUUCUGCAAAUGGAAUGUGACGAACAACAAACCCUCUGCCAGUAGCUCGAUACUGCAAAUGUGUAUGAACUAUGUUACAUAAACAUGCAUGAAUAAGAAAUGAUGAAAUUUUAAUCAUCUUUACUCAUAAUAUUCACAUACUUUAGCACCACCAUGGAGGAUUGUUCUCCCAAAAUAAUGAGUUCUGGUUCCAAGAGAGAAUGUAAAGAAGACAGAGCACAGCUGGAGCUGCAUGGUAACAAAACUAAAAACAGCCUGCAUAGGACAUAAUAAAGCAUAUUCAGAGGUUGGUUAGUAACCAACAUUGUUAGAAAAGAACCACAAGUUCAGAAAAGGAUAAGAAAGAAUAUUUGAAUAAAUAAACCUGUUCCAAAGUGCAGAGUACAUUAAAGAAAUACACAAAUAAAGACGUAGCACAAGCUAAUAAUAUGUGAGAGAAUUCGAUAAGUGUUUGUCCAUCACAUUAAUCUUGUUCAUGAGAGAAUUUAGAUAAAAGAUACACAUAUUUGACAACCACUAUACAAUCCGGAAAAUGCAUUUUUGCAUUUAGCACCUAAUAACCAAAUGGCCCACAGUGGAAGUUGACCACCGAACAAGAGCUGCUAUAUGAAUAAAUCAGUGAGAAUAACAUAUAAAAAUGGUUUUGGCAGAAUUUUACCAGCUAACAUAUACGAACAGACAACUUUACAAAUCAAUAAAAUGACAAUAGGAAAUAUUAAAGGAAACUAUGCAUACAUAUAUAUAUACACACACAUAUAUACACACUCUUAUGAGCACAGGGGCCUUCGGCUCAUAAGUCAAUUUUUAUGAUGGACCUUCCGAUUCGACGAUCUAUACCGUUAAAUAUGAUCUAGAGCAUUUGAAGUAUCUAAAAACCAAAAUUCAUAAUUUUUCAAAUUUACAAUUAAGUCCAUCAAGCAGGUAUAAAGUAAACGAUCAAAAUCAAAUGACCUUCUAAAAUAGAUGAUUGGAUUGUUGAAUUCAAGAUCGGAGUAAUUGAUCUUGAUCUAAAUAGUGAAUAAAAUUUUUCACCAAAAUUUCAACUGAUUCCGAUUCUUCGACAUCGUUAAAAAAGGAAUCGCCCCAUAAAGGCCAUUAAAAUUGUCAAUGCUUGAGGCCUUUUGAUCAUAAGGUAUAUGAUGUCAAAAUAUUAUGAAAUUUUGUUUUUAGAAUGUUCAAAUGCUAAUUAUAUUUAACAGUAUAGAUUAACGAUUCGGAAGCUCUAUCAUUGAAAACGACUAAUAAGUACGAAAACAAUCUUGCUCAUAAUAGUAUAGUAGCCAGACUCUCUCUCUCUACAUAUAUACAUAUAUACACAUACGCACACACAUAUAUAUAUAGAGAGAGAGAGAGCAAGACUGAAGCGCAUUUAGAAGGACGUAGACAUCCGUGCUAUCAAAUCGUUUUCGAUGAUGAGACUUCCAAAGCGAUGAUACACACACACACACACACACACACACACACAGAGAGAGAGAGAGAGAGAGAGAGAGCAAGGCUAGAGUGCUUUUAAAAAGAUGAAGGCGUUUGUGCUAUCAAGUCGUUUUCAAUGAUGGGGCUUCCGAAUCGACGAUAGACACUAUUAGACUUUAUCUAGAGUAUUUGAAGUACUUAGAAAAUAAAUUUCCCAUUUUUCGAUAUCAUUUACCCGCAGUUCGAAGGGGCACAAAAAUAACAAUUUAUUGGUCGAGAUGAGCCAUUUGCAAGUUAAUGAUGUAGAAAUAUCCAAAUCACAUGAAAUUUUGAUAGAAAAUUUUUUUAUCCUAUGUAAAAUUUUUUAUCUUUCAUCUAAAAUUUUCUUGUCAUAUCAUCACUUUUUGUAAGAUUUUUAUUUUCAACCAUUGAUUUUACGCCCAUCUAAUCGCUUGGUAAAUGAUACUGAAAAAUCACAAAUUUUGUUUUAGAAGCAUUUCCAAUAGUCUAGAUGUUUAACGGAAUCGAUCGUCGAUUCAGAUCUCCAAUCAUCGGAAACGGUUUAAUAGCACAGAGGCCACCGUGCUUCUAUAGGCACACAAGCCAGACUCUAUACAUACAUACAUACAUAUAUAUAUAUAUAUACAUAUAUAUAUAUAUAUAUAUAUAUAUAUGUAUAUAUAAAGAAUUCAGAAAGUGGUGGUAAGGGAGCUCUGCAAGGAACCUUGGAGAUUUUCAUGGUAGUAAAGAAAAGAUUAGGGUUUUACGUGAAUACAGUUAAAAGAAGAAACUAUUGAAUCUCAGCAUACAUGAAAAGGAAUAUGGUACCCAAAUGGAACUAUGAGAAAUUGACAAUUGUUUUUAUAUAUGGGUAAAAUUCCACCAACCUAUAGAUAUUACAGGGGCUAAUUACUCAGUUCAAAUUUACUGAAGGAGAAAAUUUCCACAAAAGAUCAUCAGUGAAGGAUAAGUUAAAGAAAGCACACUUCUCGAGAAAGGAAUGGUUAUUAGGUUUAAUAUAGAAAAUAGAGGAGCAAACCUGCAUUAGUCCUUGUUCCAGUAUGAAACCAAUUAUCAUUGGUACAGCUGUAAAAAUACCAAUCUGAACCAAAAAUUGAGCAUUCAAAGCAGCAUCAAGUGCAGUGUUUCCCAGCAAUCUUGCUUUGCGAGCUAUUGCUGAGUCGAUUCCAGAGAGCGCCUGGAAAUUCGAAAACAUCAGAAGUUUACAUUGAUAGGCAAAAUAACACAACAGUUGUUCAAAACUGAGAUUAAUCUUCAUCAGCAGGUUCUUGACAAUCACUAUAUAAAUACAAAUUUUGAGUAAGACUAACAACGUCCUACUGAAAUACCAUGAAGGCUUACCAGGUAUACCCGUCCAUAUAAGAAGAUGUACACAGUAAGAACAGUCAUCUGCAUAUGAAUUCAUUAAUCAUAAGUUAUCCAAUAACUACAAUCACACAGACACAUGUACACAUGUACACAUACACAAAGAAAGGGAGGGGGUGUGGCUGAGUAUUACCAUUGUGCACACAUAAUAACCAACAGUAGUGAAGAAGAAGGAUAACAUUCUAAAGAAGUCAAAAAGAUGCCCAAGACGAUAUACGUCUCGACUUAGGACUUGCUCUCCAUUGCCACCAGCCACUUUCCCUUCAAAAAGAGCAAUCUGGUUCAAACCUACAUCUCUGCCUUUUCCAACCUUCAAAUUAAAAAAAAGGGUAACAUCUGCAUUAAAUCUUGCACAUAGAUACUCAAAAAAUUUUACAAAAAAAAUCCAAAUAAAGAAAACCUGAAUAUAUUCAUGGUGUGUGAUAUUUCCUUGCCGCAAUGUCGAAUUGAAUCCUGCAAAAUUUUCAAAUUUAAGCAUACUUGUGCCAUAGCGCUAACAUAUAUUUAACAAUACUACCCUUUUUUUUAAUUUUGCAUGAGACCAAUCAAAGUAAAUAGUUAGAACUGUGGGCACAGUUGAUGCUAUUGUAGUUGUACUAACAAGUUUACCCCUGAUUAUCUAUGACUUACAAAACUCAAUUCCUCAGCUUUUCACUAUUUUAUGUUGCCAGCAAAAUGGUUACACUGCAAUAUAGUUGCAUACAUGAUAUUAUUUCCUUUUAGCAUACAUGAUAACCAUUUAGAUCAUCUGGCACACACUAGCUAUCUUAUUUCUGAUAAAAUACUUCUCAAACCUUGACCACCAAGUACGACAAUUACCUAACGCCCCAAAUAUUUUGUUGAGAACAUAGCAACCUUCCAAUGAAAUGACUAAGAUUAUGCAGCGUAAAUGACAAAAACAAUCAUCAUAGAGCAUUACCACACCACUUUCAUAGUACCUGCAUAUAUGUCUUCACUUAUAUUGAUAACACGAGAUGCUUUGCUUACACCACCUCUUGUUAUGUGGAAUAUCCUAUCGAAAACAUCGGGAUGCCCAUAAUGCAUACGAACCCUGUAAAAAGAACAGCAAACAUUGAUUGAUUAUCAUGACAUGAAACCACAUAGAAAUUAUGCUGCUGAUUAUUAGAGGAUCCAGAGAUUAAAAAAUGACUCACUUCAGGGGAUAUGCCAGAACACGUUGUCCCAAGGUAACAAAGCUAGUUUCUUGAUUCGACAUAAACCAAGCUAAAGAUGAAACACUACAAACAGAAAAAAAGAAAUUGAGAAAAAGAAGAACAAAUUGUUUAAAGAAACAAAACAAAACUCAAGAUUUAACGAAAACUCUCAAUAUACGAGGGAUAACCUUCCGGUAAAGACAUGCUCACGGACACCAAGAAUAGUAGGAGGUCGAAGGCCAUGAUUUGCCCGAAAUUCAUCAAGUAAAUUUCUCAUUUUCAUUGCCUCCUCAAGGUAGUUGUCCUAUAAGACAGGAAAAAGAUACAAAAAAGAUUGAAAAUUAUAUAUACAACCAGCACAAAAUAUACAAAAAGCCAACUAAAAGAAAGAAUUUCAGGAUGGAGUGUAGUAGAGAUCCACAAGCAAGUAAAAAUAGAAACAAAAGACUUCACAUAACAAAGUUAAAGUCGUCCUGCAGAACACAUUUACUUUGUAGUAUAAAUACAAUAUACUUGUAACCUGUGUUAAACUUAAUAAGCAUAAAUCUAGUAUCAUUGUAUAGGCAUAUCAAUAUAUAUAUCGAUGAAGAAAAUAAUUUAAAAUGUUACUGUACAUGGACAAGAAUGUUUUCAUAUAUGACAAUGUGGAAGCACAAAAUCAUUUGAACAAUUCAAACAGAGAACAUUAAGAAAAAGACAUGAAAAGUAACCUGAUUCAUGUCGAUAGUCUGUACAGCAUCACCACGGGUGAAAAUUAUAGCAUGGUUUUGAUUCUCAGGUUUCCCUUCUCCAAGCUUAGGGUUUCCAGGAAGCUUAAUAGAAUAUAUUUCCUAUAUAAAUGGAAAAGAAAAAGAAAAAACAUGUAGAAAGAAAAUGAAAUAGCGAUUAAAAUAGCAGAAGAGAAAAUUUCAAAAGCAGUGAUUACAACACCCCAGUUGAAUUAGAAGACUAUUCUGAUCAAACCAUCCAACAGCAGGACAAGUAUUGCAAACGGCCGGGGGGGGGCGGGCGUUGGAGGGAGGGAAUUAUUGGCCAUUUGAUGAAGUUGCCAAUGACUACCAUGAUAUACACUUAAGGAACAUGUUUCUGGUUUCAAUAAAUGGGAACUUAAGUUUCAUUGUUGACACUUGACAAUUUUAUCACUCCUGUUGGCUUAUAUACUAAAACUGUGUUCCUCUUUUAACAAUUUAAUUAGCUAAAUUAUAAAUUUACACCUUUUGUUGGGUUUGCAAGUUCUAGUCUACCUUCUAGGGACAUUGAUCUUUGAGCAUUCACCUCAGUACCAAACAUCUAUGGUUUACAGCCAAAUAUUAUUUAUUCAUCAAAAAAAAAAAAAAAACUAAAGUCGAUACAAAUUGGAGCAAAAUAGCAUGUUAAAAACAAACGACUUUUUACUGUGUGUUUGUUUGAUUAGCUCAAAAUUUUUAUAUAACUGACAGCCAAGGAACAAAAACACUUAAGACGUUCCACAAAUCCUAUAUGGCUAGAUGCUACAUUGAACCAGAUAAACUAGAGGAAACCAACAAAGUAAACUAUCAUCAAGAGUGCAUGAAUUAACAUUCAAUUACUACUAAAUUAGAUAUUUAAUUUGAUGCGUUAUAAAGUUUAAAAUAUGACAAAUAUCGAGGGUUGAAACUAGAUCGUAUUAAAUUACUGGAGUUGGCACGAUCCAACAAAGAUCAGCGGCAAACAAGAAAAUUUAUAUUAAAUAUUGACAGAAUAAAUUUCCAAAACAGCACCAACCUGAUCCUUUCCAUGAACAUCAGCUUUCAAUAGCUUUGAGUAGUAUUCUUUUAAUGGUUUGCCAUCACUAGAUACAGUUUCUUCCUCGUGUAUGAAAGCAACACGAAGUGCCUCAUUCCUGCAUAGCACAACAAGAAAAUAAAAUAAAAUAUCACUCUUAUACGGCAGAAGAAUGGUAAAAAAAUGUUUAUGUUCUAGGAUAUAGGGACUAAAACCCAAAAAAAAAAAAAAAAAAAUCAAAAUCAAAAUCAACCUGUACUCAAAACUUGAAGUACAAAAGGCAUUUAGCAAAUAAAGCUAGCAUAUGCUCACAGAGGAAAAAGCUGCACAGAGUAAGAAGUUCAAAAUUUAUGAUCACACAUCUUUUUACUGAAUAAAUAACCAAACAGACCUCUGCAUCAAAAGAGCAAUAUCAGCUGCCUCUGGAGCCUUCUUAUGCUUCUGCUGUCCAUAUAUUUGGCAUGAUACAACAUAGGUAAACUUAAGAUCUGCUUGAGCGCGUGCAUCAGAAGAUAAUUCAUAUCCUUGGAUAUUUCUAUAAUCAGCAUGAGAAUAACCAUCCUCAAGACCUGGAAGUUUGGAUGGAAAAAGACACAGCUAUCAAUAGAGUAAACUUAAAUAUUUAAGCAAUAAUUUGACUGUAACCAAAAUAUACCUCCAAGAGAUCUCCUUUCCAGAUAGCUUUGUAAUAUAAGGGCCCUUCUAUAGUACAUCAUACCACGUACUGUUUCGAUACAAAAGACAGUUAUCAAAUAAAUGACAGAAAUUAUUGAACAUAACAAUAAGAAACUUAAUUCGUAAAGCAAACCAGUAAACUCCUACUUAAGCAGAAUAAAUAAUUUAAUUAAAAUGUAGCAAACAAGUAUUCUUGCCCACCUGUCAAACAAGAUUGAUACAACUGAAAGAGUAGAUGAAUUAAAAGGUGAUGGAAUACACUAACCUGUCCUUGCUAAGGUCUGGCCGCGAUAGGAUACCCAAAAGCGUAGUUCCAAGGCAUCAUUGGAAUUAUCCUGGAUCUCAUCUGCUGAUGACUCAUCAAGGUUAAUUCGUUCCAAGAAAUUUGCCCAUUCAUCUGUUCAAAGAAUUAAUCAGCUAAUUAUAACCCAGAUGAAAGAUAUACCUUGACUUGUUAAAGCACAUAAUAAAAUAUGGAAAAAAAAAUUAACAUCAUUCAUGAAAAUGGAUGGCUUGCAACAGUCUAGAUCAAGGAUUUAAGUUCCCAUUGGCACAGUAGUGUGCCGACAAGGUAUCAGCACAAUAAGACCUUCGUGCCAAUGGAACAACUCAAAACCCUCCUACAAAAUUAGGAGGUAAUCCAUUAGUAGAGUAUAAAAGGAUUGAUAAUAUAUAUAUAUAUAUAUAUAUAUAUAUAUAUAUAUAUAUANAGCACAAAGGAUUUUGUGCUAUCGAGUUUUCUACCGUUAGAUUUAACCCUAUGAUUAUUUUUACCCGUUAGAUUAUAUUAUUCAACCAACCACUCACUUAACCCUAGGGGGCCCACAUCAUCCUAACCGCCCAUUUCUCAAUCCAAGGGCUAAAAAAUCAAUAGCACCAAUAGUUUGGUGCUAUUGAUAGUAUUCCGGCCUAGUUCUAUAUAUAUAUAUAUAUAUAUAUAUAUAUAUAUAUAUAGAGAGAGAGAGAGAGAGAGAGAGAGAGUCCAGCUACUACACUAUCGAUAGUACCAAGCUCUUGGUAUUAUCGAGUUUUCUGUCGUUAGAUCUACCCUUUGAUCAUUUCCACCCAUUAGAUUAUACUAUUCGGCCAACCACCCACUCAGGCUAGGAGACCACUAUCAUCCUAACUGGAAACCACUAUUAUUCUAACCGCACAUCCUUUCAUCCAACCCGAAAACUCGAUAGCACCAAGCACUUGGUAGUAUCGAUAAUAUAGUAACAUAAUUCCAUAUAUAU